AUGCUAACAUGGGGUUAUUGGAUUGGGUGGAAAUCACUGGAAAGCUUGAAGUCAACUUGAUGGCACACGGCAUCAACAUGGCACAGCUAGAGCUAUAAGCAGAGCAUGUACCUUUGCUAUCAUAUAAAUUGGAGCACUGCCCUGUCCUUGUCGCCCCCAAUUUGCGCGCCGCCCAAUCAGCUUCUUACACGUGGACGGAUUCGAUUCACAGGCAUGGCUGUGGAUGGCUUUAGCUAGUGUAGGUUUCGAUUUGUUUUGGUUGAAGCCACCCAAAGCUAAGCUGCUGCUUCACGCAACAGAGAACCUGUUGGUCCUCGGCUCUGCUCCUGGUGCAUCCUUAGGAUGCCUGUGGAGCUUCCUGUGGCAGCCGACGACCCGACGUCAUGGACGUCAAGGUUGUGCAGUGGUGUUGGGGUAUCCCCCCAUUGGGGUGCUGGAGAGCAAGGAAUAAGGGCUGCAGCAAGGGCAGCAGGGUGUGGAUGCGGACAAAGGGGAUCAUCAGCGUUCAAGACAACGCACAGUGUGUGCAUUGCGGGAGGCAGCGGAACCGGGUGAGGAUGGGGUGUGGUGGUGUGCUGCGUUACGGCUACGCCCAAAAGCGCCGUUGCGGGAUUAGCAGGUAUAUCAUUCCUUUCUAUUUCUUUCUGCUGCUCUCCAAGGCUGCUCCUGUAUUUCCUCUUCUUGGUGCUGCAGGGUGCUAUCGGUUUGGGCUAGAACAUCCCCUGUAAGUGUAACUCCCAUUUGAUACUUGGGCCUUUGUUCCUAAAUUUUUUAUUUUUUAAAAAAACUUGGCCAGUCGGGGGAGACCUCCCUGAGGACAUUGUUUGAGAGGUAGAAGACUAGAAGAGCACUGGCUACCCCGGCUUCUGACCGCAGCCAGAGUUUAAUCACGUCAACUACAAUGAAGGCAAGUUUAAGGCGCGCGCAACCCUGGUUCUAUCUGGAAUUUCGUGAAUUUCACGGAUUUCGUGGAAUACUAUGUUCUGAAGCCAUGGUUUGCAAUAUAUAACCGUAUUUUUGGGAUACGUUGUUUUAUUAUUUUUUUUGAUAUUGCUCUAUAUUUGUUUCCCAUUUUUUCUGUAUUUAUUUCCCAUUAUUUUUACCACAAUUGUCAUGAUAAUGUAAGAAUAAAUAUGUGUUGUACUAUUAUAAAAAAACGACACUUCAAACGUGAUAUUAAUGGUCCUGAUGCUACACUACA